rnacentral:rRNA from 1 species
UACAGAGGUGGCAAGCGUUGUUCGGAAUUACUGGGCGUAAAGGGCGCGUAGGCGGCCUACUAAGUCAGACGUGAAAUCCCCCGGCUUAACCUGGGAACUGCGUCUGAUACUGGAAGGCUUGAGUAUGGGAGAGGGAUGUAGAAUUCCAGGUGUAGCGGUGAAAUGCGUAGAUAUCAAGAGGAACACCUGAGGCGAAGGCGGGUUGCUAGGCUGACACUGACGCUGAGGCGCGAAAGCUAGGGUAGCAAACGGG